GAUGAACGCUGGCGGCGUGCCUAAUACAUGCAAGUCGAGCGAACGGACGAGAAGCUUGCUUUUCUGAUGUUAGCGGCGGACGGGUGAGUAACACGUGGAUAACCUACCUAUAAGACUGGGAUAACUUCGGGAAACCGGAGCUAAUACCGGAUAAUAUUUUGAACCGCAUGGUUCAAAAGUGAAAGACGGUCUUGCUGUCACUUAUAGAUGGAUCCGCGCUGCAUUAGCUAGUUGGUAAGGUAACGGCUUACCAAGGCAACGAUGCAUAGCCGACCUGAGAGGGGGUACGGGCACACUGGAACUGAGACACGGUACAGACACCUACGGGAGGCAGCAGUAGGGACUCUUCCGCAAUGGGCGAAAGCCUGACGGAGCAGCGCCGCGUGAGUGAUGAAGGGCUUCGGAUCGUAAUACUCUGUUAUUAGGGAAGAACAUAUGUGUAAGUAACUGUGCACAUCUUGACGGUACCUAAUAAGAAAGCCACGGCUAACUACGUG
rnacentral:rRNA from 1 species